AAGUCGAGCGGUAGCACAGAGAGCUUGCUCUCGGGUGACGAGCGGCGGACGGGUGAGUAAUGUCUGGGAAACUGCCUGAUGGAGGGGGAUAACUACUGGAAACGGUAGCUAAUACCGCAUAAUGUCGCAAGACCAAAGUGGGGGACCUUCGGGCCUCAUGCCAUCAGAUGUGCCCAGAUGGGAUUAGCUAGUAGGUGGGGUAACGGCUCACCUAGGCGACGAUCCCUAGCUGGUCUGAGAGGAUGACCAGCCACACUGGAACUGAGACACGGUCCAGACUCCUACGGGAGGCAGCAGUGGGGAAUAUUGCACAAUGGGCGCAAGCCUGAUGCAGCCAUGCCGCGUGUGUGAAGAAGGCCUUCGGGUUGUAAAGCACUUUCAGCGGGGAGGAAGGCGAUAAGGUUAAUAACCUUGUCGAUUGACGUUACCCGCAGAAGAAGCACCGGCUAACUCCGUGCCAGCAGCCGCGGUAAUACGGAGGGUGCAAGCGUUAAUCGGAAUUACUGGGCGUAAAGCGCACGCAGGCGGUCUGUCAAGUCGGAUGUGAAAUCCCCGGGCUCAACCUGGGAACUGCAUUCGAAACUGGCAGGCUAGAGUCUUGUAGAGGGGGGUAGAAUUCCAGGUGUAGCGGUGAAAUGCGUAGAGAUCUGGAGGAAUACCGGUGGCGAAGGCGGCCCCCUGGACAAAGACUGACGCUCAGGUGCGAAAG
rnacentral:rRNA from 1 species